rnacentral:tRNA from 1 species
AGUUAAUGAGCUUGAAUAAGCAUAUGUUUUGAAAACAUAAGAUAGUAUUUUAUUUACUAUUAACUU